rnacentral:rRNA from 1 species
GACGAACGCUGGCGGCGUGCUUAACACAUGCAAGUCGAACGGUGAAGCGAGUGCUUGCACUCGUGGAUCAGUGGCGAACGGGUGAGUAACACGUGAGUAACCUGCCCAUCACUCUGGGAUAAGCACUGGAAACGGUGUCUAAUACUGGAUACGACCAACCCUUGCAUGGGGUGUUGGUGGAAAGAUUUAUCGGUGAUGGAUGGACUCGCGGCCUAUCAGCUUGUUGGCGGGGUAAUGGCCCACCAAGGCGACGACGGGUAGCCGGCCUGAGAGGGUGACCGGCCACACUGGGACUGAGACACGGCCCAGACUCCUACGGGAGGCAGCAGUGGGGAAUAUUGCACAAUGGGCGAAAGCCUGAUGCAGCGACGCCGCGUGAGGGAUGACGGCCUUCGGGUUGUAAACCUCUCUCAGCAGGGAAGAAGCGAAAGUGACGGUACCUGCAGAAGAAGCACCGGCUAACUACGUG